rnacentral:rRNA from 1 species
GACGUAGGGCGCGAGCGUUGUCCGGAUUUAUUGGGCGUAAAGAGCUCGUAGGCGGCUUGUCGCGUCGUCCGUGAAAACCCACAGCUCAACUGUGGGCUUGCGGGCGAUACGGGCAGGCUAGAGUUCGGUAGGGGAGACUGGAAUUCCUGGUGUAGCGGUGAAAUGCGCAGAUAUCAGGAGGAACACCGGUGGCGAAGGCGGGUCUCUGGGCCGAUACUGACGCUGAGGAGCGAAAGCGUGGGGAGCGAACAGG